AGUGAACGCUGGCGGCAGGCCUAACACAUGCAAGUCGAGCGGAUGAAGGGAGCUUGCUCCUGGAUUCAGCGGCGGACGGGUGAGUAAUGCCUAGGAAUCUGCCUGGUAGUGGGGGAUAACGUCCGGAAACGGGCGCUAAUACCGCAUACGUCCUGAGGGAGAAAGUGGGGGAGCUUCGGACCUUACGCUAUCAGAUGAGCCUAUGUCGGAUUAGCUAGUUGGUGGGGUAAAGGCCCACCAAGGCGACGAUCCGUAACUGGUCUGAGAGGAUGAUCAGUCACACUGGAACUGAGACACGGUCCAGACUCCUACGGGAGGCAGCAGUGGGGAAUAUUGGACAAUGGGCGAAAGCCUGAUCCAGCCAUGCCGCGUGUGUGAAGAAGGUCUUCGGAUUGUAAAGCACUUUAAGUUGGGAGGAAGGGCAGUAAGUUAAUACCUUGCUGUUUUGACGUUACCAACAGAAUAAGCACCGGCUAACUUCGUG
rnacentral:rRNA from 1 species